CCUGAGCUGAAGUCAGACGCUCAACCAACUGAGCCACCCAGGCGCCCCAGAGACACCUUUAUGUAGAGUGAUCCAGGCAGGUUUUCUGAAGAGAUGGCUUUUGAAGUGAGACCUGAAUGACAGGAAGAAGCCAGCCAGGCAGAGCCCAUGGAUGGUGGACAUUCCAUGCUGAAGGAGCAUCAAGAACAAAGGCCCUGAGGCCAGGACAGAAGUUUGAUUUGUUGGAAGGAUGGCCGCCCUGCCUGGAACGGUGAACAAAGGACAGAGUAGGUGGCAGUGACAUCAGAGGGGUGAGUGAAGAUGAGCAGGUGGGGCCUUGUGGUCCAUGGGAAGGGGUGUCAUUGCUGAUGAGACUGAAGCAUCAGAGGGAAACCACCCCACCCUGUGCAAUGUAAGAGAUGCUUACUCUCAGCCAGCUUCCUGCCUUACAGACAAUGCAACUGAGGCCCGAGGUUUGGCCAUGUCGGGUCUGGAUUCCACCCCAGACUUCUUGACCCCGCUAUUCAUUCUGAGACCCCAACUGUGGCUUCAAGUACAAGAAUGCGUCUGGUUUGUGAUCUCUACACAUGCACACUACUUCCCUUCCCAGCAGCCUCUGCUCAAAGUUGCUCUACCAUUCCCAAAGAAAACCAGAGCGCUGCUGGAUUUACGUUUCCUUCAUAUGUGUUUUUUAUUUUCUUCCUAACAUUUAUUGUGCCAGGCGUUUUCACAUAGGUUACCUCACUUGAACUUGACAUCAACACUCUGAGGUGUCGGGGUCAUUAUAUCAAGACAAGUGAAGGAACAGGCUGAGAGAGGCAAGAAACACAACCAAGAUCACACAGCUUGCUGGUAGCAGAGAUUCAAGUACAAGUCCAUCUGGCCUCAGGGCCCAUGUUCUUUCCUCCUCACCAUGUGGUAUCACUCGUGUUCUCCCAUCCUAUUCAAGUAAUUCCAGUAACUCCCUAAGACUGAAGCCAACACAGGAAUGCAGAGCUAGGACAGCAGCAGGGGAGGAGACCUGAUGACCUCUGUGGAACCUCUGGAUCCACCUGAACUUACGCCAUGGUGUUGGAUUUCUGUCAUUUGUAACUGAACGCUUCCUUACCCAUGCAAGAAGACAGGAAAAGGUGGAGCAGGGAGGGCUUGGCAUACCAGCCUGACAGAGGUUGGAGGUCGACCUUGAGACAUGCUUCUUGGAGAUCAAAGAUCUGGUCCAGGGUCAUGUACCUGGUAAGUGGCAGGGCCAAUGUCAGAACCCAGGUCUGACUCUGGGAGCAAGGUGUGUGCAGUUCCUCCCCUUCAGCUCAUGAAUUUCCUGAAGGUUCUGAACCCACUCCGUUUGAACAGGUUAAUCACCAGUCUACAUAUGAGCUUGUCUUCUUUUCUAGCAGACAAGAUUCUGAAAGACACUGUCCCUUUCAUCUCAAAAGCUCCUGCCUUAUGAGGGCUGUUGUGAGAAGUAGCAGAUAAGGGACAUGAAAUCAUGCUGUAAACUGUAGAGUGCCACAGGUAAGUGAUGAGUGGUUAUUUUUAUUAGUUGACAGGUCACCUUCACUCUUGGGAGCCUCAAGAAGUACCUUAGGAGGCAACUAGAUUCCCUUCCAUCCCCUUCCUCCAAUAGGAACACUCCUCUUGGCCUUAUUUAAGCCAAAAAUCUCUUCUCCUCACAGAGAGACUCAGGUAUGACCUUGGACCUCCCUGGGUCUCUGUUUUUUGAUCUAUAACGUGGGGCUGGGGAGGGGGAAGAUCUUAAAUUGGAUCCUCCUUGAGGAACAUUGUGUCUCACUAACCAGGGAAGUCUGCACCCCCAGGUCAUUGGAAACAGGGAGAAACUACCACAGACAUCACAUCCCAGAGCCCCAAAUGACCCGAGCUUUCCCAUGUACCCUCCAGGCCUAGUGCCCCAGUUACUCCUGAGCAUCUCUGGACAUCAUCUCUCCAUUUUACAGAACAUGAAACUAAGGCCCAAGAGGGCAAGACUGUAAGGGGGAUAACUGUGGGAUCUGUCCUUUUAGAAACUGCUCGACUCCCACGCCAGCCAGGGGUUCACAUGGUGGCUGCUGUGUUCUCAUAGACCCAACCCUUUGCCACAGUGGAGUGACCCAGCAACCUCAUCCAGAACUGGGCCAGUCAUCUCUGACACAGUUUUCAACCUAGAACUGGGAAAGAGUUCUCUGGUGGAGGCGCCACGAGAUGUGGAACUGAGAGAGAUAUUGGUGACCCUGUUGUCUGCCGUGUCGUACAGAUUCAAUGUCUGUCUUUCUCUCUUAUUCCUGGUUUCUGCUGUUGCUGAAGCCAAGCCACCUAUCUACCAUUCCCAUCGGUGGUAUUAUAAUAAAUAUUUGUUCGUUUUGCCCA